rnacentral:lncRNA from 1 species
CUAGAUGCAGAUGAUUCGCUCCGUAGAUCCAACAACAAGCCGCGUUAUGCACAUGUGGCUAAAGGAGACAAGGUUACCAAUGCCACAUAUCACCUUAAUGGUUCCGCCACCUCGAAUAGUCAUGUCGACGAUCAUGGACAAUUUGUGAUCCUUCUUAGACUACAUCCAGAUGUUUGCACAAACUUGGUGUGUGUGAGAGAGAAAGGUGAUACUUGAGCUAAGUCAUAUGACUUGACAUGUUGAAUGAACAUGAGAUGCUCAACCCAUGCUUAUGAUGAUAUCUACAACUUGUUCCUAUGGAUAUCUGCAAUUUGUAGAUG